rnacentral:snoRNA from 1 species
UUGCUAUGAUGACGAUCUUAGGACACCUUUGGAUAAAAGAUGAAACAAAACAUUUAAUCUGAGCAGC